GAUGAACGCUGGCGGCGUGCCUAAUACAUGCAAGUCGAGCGAACAGAUGAGGAGCUUGCUCCUCUGACGUUAGCGGCGGACGGGUGAGUAACACGUGGAUAACCUACCUAUAAGACUGGGAUAACUUCGGGAAACCGGAGCUAAUACCGGAUAAUAUAUUGAACCGCAUGGUUCAAUAGUGAAAGACGGUUUUGCUGUCACUUAUAGAUGGAUCCGCGCCGCAUUAGCUAGUUGGUAAGGUAACGGCUUACCAAGGCAACGAUGCGUAGCCGACCUGAGAGGGUGAUCGGCCACACUGGAACUGAGACACGGUCCAGACUCCUACGGGAGGCAGCAAUAGGGAAUCUUCCGCAAUGGGCGAAAGCCUGACGGAGCAACGCCGCGUGAGUGAUGAAGGUCUUCGGAUCGUAAAACUCUGUUAUUAGGGAAGAACAAAUGUGUAAGUAACUAUGCACGUCUUGACGGUACCUAAUCAGAAAGCCACGGCUAACUACAUG
rnacentral:rRNA from 1 species